UGAACACCAUCCUCUCAUCUUCUAAGCACAAGCUGGCCUAUGCUCUCCAGAGUUUCAAUCAGUGCAUCAAGUGUAGUAACUCAACAUUAAAUACAUCUUGGAGACUCAAUCUCUUAGAACAUCUUCCUUGGAAGAACUUUCUAUCUUGAUCACGAGCACUUCUUUGGGGUCACAGAGGGAUUCAAGAGCAUUAUUCUGGGAUCAAUUUCUGUUUUGUCACCAAUGAACAUGAUGCACCAUAAAAGCUGUGAAAACAAGACAGAAUAGAAGAGUCUGAAUUGAAGAAAACCUAGUGAUCAAUACCAUAGCAUAAUAUUACAGUGUUCUUAGAAAUAAAAACUCCUGGAACAGAAAUUAUUCA
rnacentral:lncRNA from 1 species